rnacentral:rRNA from 1 species
CCUAACACAUGCAAGUCGAACGGUAACAGGAAGCAGCUUGCUGCUUCGCUGACGAGUGGCGGACGGGUGAGUAAUGUCUGGGAAGCUGCCUGAUGGAGGGGGAUAACUACUGGAAACGGUAGCUAAUACCGCAUAAUGUCGCAAGACCAAAGAGGGGGACCUUCGGGCCUCUCGCCAUCGGAUGUGCCCAGAUGGGAUUAGCUCGUUGGUGGGGUAACGGCUCACCAAGGCGACGAUCCCUAGCUGGUCUGAGAGGAUGACCAGCCACACUGGAACUGAGACACGGUCCAGACUCCUACGGGAGGCAGCAGUGGGGAAUAUUGCACAAUGGGCGCAAGCCUGAUGCAGCCAUGCCGCGUAUGAAGAAGGCCUUCGGGUUGUAAAGUACUUUCAGCGGGGAGGAAGGGAGUAAAGUUAAUACCUUUGCUCAUUGACGUUACCCGCAGAAGAAGCACCGGCUAACUCCGUGCCAGCAGC